AAAAAAGAGCUCGACCAACGACCGCUCUUCUUCUCCAGUGACGGAAAUUAGGGUUUCCAUCUUCAGAGACGACCGACGACCAACCUAGGUAUUUUUUCUUCUCCUUUCUUCUUGUUUUUUCUUUCUUCUUCAUCUUCUUCUUCCAUCUUCUUCUUCUUUCACUCUGUCGACGUCGACGACCAACCCAGGGUUUCCAUCUUUUUUUAAUUUUUUUUUCAUGUUGACAGUCGACGAACAGAGCUUUAGUCGACGAACAGAGUU
rnacentral:lncRNA from 1 species